CCCCUAGAUGUUCUGGGCCGCACGCGCGCUACACUGAACAGUUCAACAAGUCUUAACCUUGGCCGAUAGGUCUGGGUAAUCUCCAAAUUUCGUCGUGAUGGGGAUAGAUUAUUGCAAUUAUUAAUCUUCAACGAGGAAUGCCUAGUAAGCGCAAGUCAUCAGCUUGCGUUGAUUACGUCCCUGCCCUUUGUACACACCGCCCGUCGCUCCUACCGAUUGAAUGGUCCGGUGAAGCGUUCGGACCGUGGCCUUUGGACGGUUCGCCGUCUGUUGGCUGCGGGAAGUUCGUUAAACCUUAUCAUUUAGAGGAAGGAGAANUCGUANCA
rnacentral:rRNA from 1 species